rnacentral:lncRNA from 1 species
UGAAGACUGAUGUUCUGAUUUUUUUCCUAUCCUAUUUUCUUUAAAUCCUAGGAGACUUCAUUUGGUAUUUUCAUGUAGAAUCUCUUAUCUGCAGCAAUGUAGGAGUGUAGAUCUGCCUAGAAACAUAAAGCUGAUUCAACCACAUAAACUGCAUAGUCAGUGAAAACUUCAGCUUGAAUAUGUCUUUAUGUAAAAGAGCUUCUGACUACAUAAUUGUAUUUACUGGAAUCCAUAAAUCUCUACUACAGCGAAGAAGACAAGAAAUAAGCAGACACACUGAUGCAGCAUUCAAGUUUGGGGAAAAAAAGGAGGGAAAUUAUUACAGACGUCUGGAUGGUGUCCUCAAAUCCCCCUUUAGCUAUUGAAUCUCAGCUGUCUGCAAUCAAGAACUGAGUCACAAAAUGGCUUGCAUUGUGUUGCUAUUUCAGUUUGACA